CCCCUAAUUAUGAUCUGUGUCCGGAGUUGAUUGCAAUAGGUCAAAACCAACCCUUUUCUAUAGCCGAGGUCCUAUCUUUUAAUCAAGAAGAUAAUGCACUUUUAGCUACACCUAGGGGAUCUGUUAAUCUUUCUAUAAACUGUGGUUUAGACCUAACCCUACAAGACCAUGUUUUUCCUAGAUAUUUUCACAUUGGUCUUAAUCAUAUAACCUUUGGUAGAGUCUUUCUUUCUUUAUCUAUUAGUAAAGGAAGGUAUGUCUUCAUUGUGGACAUCCUUCUUGUACUAGUCUUCAUAGAAAAAUCUUAGAGAUAGAGAAGGAAUCAUCUCCCA
rnacentral:lncRNA from 1 species